UAGAGAAUUACAAUUUGUCUUAAACUCCAAACAAUAAAUUUCUUCUCUCUGAUAAUGUUAGUCUAUGAAAAAUAGUUGCUUUAGUGUUAAAUGAUAUAAAACUCAAAGCACUCAACCACAUAUCACAAUUUAGGUAAUCCAUACCAAGGUGUAACAAUGUAGUGUAUUGUGCAAACAUUGUUGAAAGUUAUAAAGAUGGAAACUUGCAACCAAUGAUGGAAACAUCAAUUCACAUUAUGUCAAAUUGUUGGUGCUUGUUUCAGAAAAGACACUUACACACGCGCAUUUCAAUAUAUGUAAUUGAUGCCGAACAAUUUGACAAAGUGUUGCGUGCAGCGGUGUUUGUGAGCGAAGCGAGGAGCGAGAAGGUAAAUACCGAUGAACUGAUUGCAGCUGCUGUAGUGAAAAUUUUCACACGAAACAAAAUUUGGAGUAAUACCGGACUCAACUCGGAAUUUAAUUUGUGCCCGUUUUAAGACCAAAUAUUGCAUCCAAUGCGAUCCUUAACGUGCCACUACUAGCGUCGGAAAAGUUUUCCCCCGGAACAUCAUCGCCGGCUUCUGACGCAUCGGCAUCCAGUAAUUGACCACCGUUGACGGCACUGCCUCGCAGACAAACAUCACCCCCCGCAUCACCCUUUUUACCGUGAUGGGGGUAGUUCCGACGUCCUAUAGGAUUCGAGUCUACCGGUGUUGUUCCACCAAUACCCCGCCGGAUGAGACGAUGAAAGCUGCUUUCGAGAUAGUGCUGAGCAGGUCUUGAGGAAACCGCUGUUGGUGAAUGGGGUGAUGAUUAGUGGGCAGUUUCAGUAUGCGAACGACGACGAGGAAAUGCAACUGUCGGUCGAGGUCAAUCCGGGAGUAUUCGCCGACUAGAAGCCCAACAAGCCCUGCCGGAAGGAAUUCAUCAAGAGAAAUAUUUUCGACUCGAACAAGGUUAGUUAAACCGGUCCGACAUUGUUUCUUGCCGGACGGCCAAACAAGCUUCCCAGGGAGCUGAUUCGAAUUCCUUGAGUAAUCGAGGGAAAGCAGUGUCGGGAGGAUGCAGACGUCCGGUGUUCAGGAGAAAAGUAACCCAUUUGUGCUUGAUUUGUGCUGAAAGAUCCUGGCGCUUUUUAUCGUUUGAUUAGAUCUUUUCCAAACGCUAACUAUUUAAAUAAAUAAUAUUUUAAUGAUAUUUUAUUACAA